ACAGUGGACGCGAGCAUCUUUGUUGUAAGUAAUGAAGAGCGUACGGUGGAUGCCUUGGCACCAGGAGCCGAUGAAGGACGUAGGAGGCUGCGAUAAGCCUCGGGGAGCUGUCAACCGAGCUGUGAUCCGAGGGUGUCCGAAUGGGGAAACCCAGCACGAGUGAUGUCGUGUUACCUGCACCUGAAUAUAUAGGGUGUGUGGAGGGAACGUGGGGAAGUGAAACAUCUCAGUACCCACAGGAAGAGAAAACAAUAGUGAUUCCGUGAGUAGUGGCGAGCGAAAGCGGAUGAGGCCAAACUUUGUGCGUGUGAUACCCGGCAGGGGUUGCGUAUGGAGGGUUGUGGGGUUUGCAUUGUCGAUUCUGCCGGAUCGGCCGACAGUGAGAAAUUGUGGUGUUAGUCGAAGUGGUCUGGAACGGCCUGUCGUAGAGGGUGAGAGUCCCGUAGACGAAAACAUUGCAACUGUCGUUGUGGAUACCCAAGUAGCAGCGGGCCCGUGAAAUCUGCUGUGAAUCUGUCGGGACCACCCGAUAAGCCUGAAUACUCCCUGGUGACCGAUAGCGGACUAGUACCGUGAGGGAAAGGUGAAAAGUACCCCGGGAGGGGAGUGAAAUAGUACCUGAAACCGUGCGCUUACAAUCCGUCAAAGCUGGUGAACAGUUUACUGUUGCUGGUGAUGGCGUGCCUUUUGAAGAAUGAGCCUGCGAGUUAGUGGCAUGUCGCGAGGUUAACCCGUGUGGGGUAGCCGUAGCGAAAGCGAGUCCGAAUAGGGCGUAUCCACCUUGUGUGGUGUAGUGGCGUGUUCUAGACCCGAAGCGGAGUGAUCUACCCAUGGCCAGGUUGAAGCGACGGUAAGACGUCGUGGAGGACCGAACCCACUUAGGUUGAAAACUGAGGGGAUGAGUUGUGGGUAGGGGUGAAAGGCCAAUCAAACUCCGUGAUAGCUGGUUCUCCCCGAAAUGCAUUUAGGUGCAGCGUCACGUGUUUCUCGCCGGAGGUAGAGCUACUGGAUGGUCUAGGGGGCCUACAAGCUUACCGAAAUCAGCCAAACUCCGAAUGCCGGUGAGUGAGAGCGUGGCAGUGAGACUGCGGGCGAUAAGGUUCGUAGUCGAGAGGGAAACAGCCCAGAUCGCCAGCUAAGGUCCCUAAGCGUGUACUAAGUGGAAAAGGAUGUGGGGUCGCGAAGACAACCAGGAGGUUGGCUUAGAAGCAGCCACCCUUGAAAGAGUGCGUAAUAGCUCACUGGUCAAGUGAUCCUGCGCCGACAAUGUAGCGGGGCUCAAGUACACCACCGAAGCUGCGGCACUCACACAACAGCCCCAUGCAAGUCUGCGGAUUUGUGUGCAGGUGUGUGGGUGGGUAGGGGAGCGUCGUGCAGCCAUGGAAGCAUCGGAGUGAUCCAGGUGUGGAGGCUGCGCGAGUGAGAAUGCAGGCAUGAGUAGCGAAAGACGAGUGAGAAACUCGUCCGCCGAAUGACCAAGGGUUCCUGGGCCAGGUUAAUCCGCCCAGGGUGAGUCGGGACCUAAGACGAGGCGACAGGCGUAGCCGAUGGACAACGGUUGAUAUUCCCGUACCCGUGUAACCGCGCCCAUGGUGAAUCAGUGACACUAACCACCCUGAAUCCACGUGACUGAUCUCUUUCGAGAGUGAGGCGUGUGGUGGAUGCGUGGGACCUGAUCUGGUAGUAGCCAAGCGAUGGGUGACGCAGGAAGGUAGCUGGGCCAGUCAGUGGUUGUACUGGUGUAAGCCUGUAGGGCGAACGGUAGGCAAAUCCGCCGUUCAUCAAGCCUGAGAGGUGAUGCGUAGCCGAUUGAGGCGAAUUCAGUGAUCCUAUGCUGCCGAGAAAAGCCUCUAGUGAGUUGUUACACGGCCCGUACCCCAAACCGACACAGGUGGUCAGGUAGAGAAUACUAAGGCGAUCGAGAUAACUAUGGUUAAGGAACUCGGCAAAAUGCCCCCGUAACUUCGGGAGAAGGGGGCCCUGUCCGGUGAUCACUCUUGCAGUGUGAGCUGGGUGGGGCCGCAGAGACCAGUGAGAAGCGACUGUUUACUAAAAACACAGGUCCGUGCGAAGUCGUAAGACGAUGUAUACGGACUGACGCCUGCCCGGUGCUGGAAGGUUAAGAGGACCGGUUAGCCAGUGAGGCGAAGCUGAGAAUUUAAGCCCCAGUAAACGGCGGUGGUAACUAUAACCAUCCUAAGGUAGCGAAAUUCCUUGUCGGGUAAGUUCCGACCUGCACGAAUGGCGUAACGACUUCUCAGCUGUCUCAACCAUAGACUCGGCGAAAUUGCAUUACGAGUAAA
rnacentral:rRNA from 1 species